rnacentral:rRNA from 1 species
AUUGAACGCUGGCGGCAGGCUUAACACAUGCAAGUCGAACGAGUGGCGGACGGGUGAGUAAUGCGUGGGAAUGUAGCAUAGGGAGGGGGAUAACUAAGGGAAACUGUCGCUAAUAACGAGUACAAGAGGAUGAGCCGAAGUGGGAUUAGGUAGGUGGUGAGGUAAAGGCGGACCAAGCCGACGAUCUUUAGCUGGUCUGAGAGGAUGACCAGCCACACUGGGACUGAGACCCGGCCCAGACUCCUACGGCAGGCAGCAGUGGGGAAUAUUGCGCAAUGGGGGCAACCUGACGCAGCCAUGCCGCGUGAAUGAAGAAGGCCUUCGGGUUUUAAAGUUCUUUCGGUAGCGAGGCGUUAACUACAGAAGAAGCACCGGCUAACUCCGUGCCAGCAGCCGCGGUAAUUC